rnacentral:rRNA from 1 species
GCUGGCGGCGUGCCUAAUACAUGCAAGUAGAACGCUGAAGGAGAAGCUUGCUUCUCUGGAUGAGUUGCGAACGGGUGAGUAACGCGUAGGUAACCUGCCUGGUAGCGGGGGAUAACUAUUGGAAACGAUAGCUAAUACCGCAUAAGAGUAGAUGUUGCAUGACAUUUGCUUAAAAGGUGCAAUUGCAUCACUACCAGAUGGACCUGCGUUGUAUUAGCUAGUUGGUGAGGUAACGGCUCACCAAGGCGACGAUACAUAGCCGACCUGAGAGGGUGAUCGGCCACACUGGGACUGAGACACGGCCCAGACUCCUACGGGAGGCAGCAGUAGGGAAUCUUCGGCAAUGGACGGAAGUCUGACCGAGCAACGCCGCGUGAGUGAAGAAGGUUUUCGGAUCGUAAAGCUCUGUUGUAAGAGAAGAACGAGUGUGAGAGUGGAAAGUUCACACUGUGACGGUAUCUUACCAGAAAGGGACGGCUAACUACGUG